GGUAAUUUUCCGCAAUGGGCGAAAGCCUGACGGAGCAAUACCGCGUGAGGGACGAAGGCUUUUGGGUCGUAAACCUCUUUUCCCUGAGAAGAAGAUCUGACGGUAUCAGGGGAAUAAGCAUCGGCUAACUUCGUGCCAGCAGCCGCGGUAAUACGAGGGAUGCAAGCGUUAUCCGGAAUUAUUGGGCGUAAAGCGUCCGCAGGUGGCUCUGUAAGUCUGUCGUUAAAGAAUGGGGCUCAACCCCAUACAGGCGAUGGAAACUACAAGGCUAGAGUUUGGUAGGGGUCACGGGAAUUCCUAGUGUAGCGGUGAAAUGCGUAGAUAUUAGGAAGAACACCAGCGGCGAAAGCGCGUGACUGGGCCAGUACUGACACUCAUGGACGAAAGCUAGGGGAGCGAAAGGGAUUAGAUACCCCUGUAGUCCUAGCCGUAAACGAUGAUAACUAGGUGUUGCCCGUAUCGACCCGGGCAGUGCCGUAGCCAACGCGUUAAGUUAUCCG
rnacentral:rRNA from 1 species